rnacentral:rRNA from 1 species
UAGGGAAUCUUCGGCAAUGGACGAAAGUCUGACCGAGCAACGCCGCGUGAGUGAAGAAGGUUUUCGAAUCGUAAAACUCUGUUGGUAGAGAAGAACGUUGGUGAGAGUGGAAAGCUCAUCAAGUGACGGUAACUACCCAGAAAGGGCGGCUAACUACGUGCCAC